AACGGAGGGUGCAAGCGUUGUUCGGAAUUACUGGGCGUAAAGCGCGUGCAGGUGGUCAUCUAAGUUCUGUGUGAAAUCCCUCGGCUUAACCGAGGAACUGCGCAGAAUACUGGAUGACUUGAAUACGGGAGAAGUGGGCGGAAUUCCCAGUGUAGAGGUGAAAUUCGUAGAGAUUGGGAGGAACACCGGUGGCGAAAGCGGCUCACUAGACCGAUAUUGACGCUCAUACGCGAGAGCGUGGGUAGCAAACAGGAUUAGAAACCCUGGUAGU
rnacentral:rRNA from 1 species